rnacentral:rRNA from 1 species
AGCAUAUCAAUAAGCGGAGGAAAAGAAAAUAACAAUGAUUCCCUUAGUAACGGCGAGUGAAGGGGGAAAAGCUCAAAUUUUAAAUCUGCUAGGUUUUACCUGUCAGAAUUGUAAUUUGAAGAAGCGUUUUCCGCGUCUCGGUUGGCCCAAAUCCUUUGGGAUAAGGUAUCAUGGAGGGUGAGAAUCCCGUUCGGUUGACCUUAUGACGCACUACGAUACGCUUUCUAAGAGUCGAGUUGUUUGGGAUUGCAGCUCAAAAUGGGAGGUAAAUUUCUCCUAAGGCUAAAUAUCGGCGAGAGACCGAUAGCGAACAAGUACCGUGAGGGAAAGAUGAAAAGAACUUUGAAAAGAGAGUAAAAUAGUACGUGAAAUUGUUGAAAGGGAAACGAUUGAAGUCAGCCGUACCGACGAGAAAUCAGCUUAUCGUGUAUUAACUUGUGGGCGUGCGUGAGUUUCAGCCUCGCUGUUUGCAUAUUUGUGCGCUUUGGGUGUACUUUUUCGUAUGGUUGGCCAACAUCAGUUUCGAUUACUAUAAAAUGACUGGCGGAAUGUAGCUUCGAUUUCGGUUGAAGUGUUAUAGCCUCUGGUAGAUGUGGUGAUUGGGACUGAGGAUUGCAACGAAUAUCCUUUGGGCUAUCCAUCUGGCCUCUGAAAGUUGCUUGGGUGCUGAAAGCUUGCUUAUGGUUAUCUAAGUUAACGGUCAAUAGGUUAGAACGCGAUUACAUUCGUUAAGGAUGUUGGCGUAAUGGCUUUAAACGACCCGU